UACGUAGGGUGCGAGCGUUGUCCGGAAUUAUUGGGCGUAAAGGGCUCGUAGGCGGUCUUUUGCGUCGGGAGUGAAAACUCAGGGCUUAACCCUGAGCCUGCUUCCGAUACGGGCAGACUAGAGGUAUGCAGGGGAGAACGGAAUUCCUGGUGUAGCGGUGAAAUGCGCAGAUAUCAGGAGGAACACCGGUGGCGAAGGCGGUUCUCUGGGCAUUACCUGACGCUGAGGAGCGAAAGUGUGGGGAGCGAACAGG
rnacentral:rRNA from 1 species